AGAGUUUGAUCAUGGCUCAGGACGAACGCUGGCGGCGUGCUUAACACAUGCAAGUCGAACGAUGAACCGGUUUCGGCCGGGGAUUAGUGGCGAACGGGUGAGUAACACGUGGGUAAUCUGCCCCGCACUCUGGGAUAAGCCCGGGAAACUGGGUCUAAUACCGGAUAUACAUCGAUGGUCGCAUGGCCUGUCGGUGGAAAGCUUUUGCGGUGUGGGAUGGGCCCGCGGCCUAUCAGCUUGUUGGUGGGGUGAUGGCCUACCAAGGCGACGACGGGUAGCCGGCCUGAGAGGGUGACCGGCCACACUGGGACUGAGACACGGCCCAGACUCCUACGGGAGGCAGCAGUGGGGAAUAUUGCACAAUGGGCGAAAGCCUGAUGCAGCGACGCCGCGUGAGGGAUGACGGCCUUCGGGUUGUAAACCUCUUUCAGCAGGGGAGAAGCGCAAGUGACGGUACCUGCAGAAGAAGCACCGGCUAACUACGUGCCAGCAGCCGCGGUAAUACGUAGGGUGCAAGCGUUGUCCGGAAUUAUUGGGCGUAAAGAGCUCGUAGGCGGCUUGUCGCGUCGGUUGUGAAAGCCCGGGGCUUAACCCUGGGUCUGCAGUCGAUACGGGCAGGCUAGAGUUCGGCAGGGGAGACUGGAAUUCCUGGUGUAGCGGUGAAAUGCGCAGAUAUCAGGAGGAACACCGGUGGCGAAGGCGGGUCUCUGGGCCGAUACUGACGCUGAGGAGCGGAAGCGUGGGGAGCGAACAGGAUUAGAUACCCUGGUAGUCCACGCUGUAAACGGUGGGAACUAGGUGUGGGCAGCAUUCCACGUUGUCUGUGCCGUAGCUAACGCAUUAAGUUCCCCGCCUGGGGAGUACGGCCGCAAGGCUAAAACUCAAAUGAAUUGACGG
rnacentral:rRNA from 1 species